GGGGGCGUAGCUCAGUUGGGAGAGCACCUGCCUUGCAAGCAGGGGGUCAAGAGUUCGAAUCUCUCCGUCUCCAC
rnacentral:tRNA from 3 species